AGGAUAAUAGUUAAUAAUAACAUUUAAUUUGCAAUUAAAAAUAAUCGGCUUAGCCGAUUUAUCUUA
rnacentral:tRNA from 1 species